rnacentral:rRNA from 1 species
UACGUAGGGGGCAAGCGUUGUCCGGAAUCAUUGGGCGUAAAGAGCGCGUAGGCGGUCCGGUAAGUCCGCUCUGAAAGUCCGGGGCUCAACCCCGGGAGGCGGGCGGAUACUGUCGGGCUAGAGUCCGGAAGAGGCGAGUGGAAUUCCUGGUGUAGCGGUGAAAUGCGCAGAUAUCAGGAGGAACACCGGCGGCGAAGGCGGGUCUCUGGGCCAUAACUGACGCUGAGGAGCGAAAGCGUGGGGAGCGAACAGG